rnacentral:rRNA from 1 species
UACGAAGGGGGCUAGCGUUGCUCGGAAUCACUGGGCGUAAAGCGCACGUAGGCGGAUCUUUAAGUCAGGGGUGAAAUCCCAAGGCUCAACCUUGGAACUGCCUUUGAUACUGGGGAUCUCGAGUCCGGAAGAGGUGAGUGGAACUGCGAGUGUAGAGGUGAAAUUCGUAGAUAUUCGCAAGAACACCAGUGGCGAAGGCGGCUCACUGGUUCGGUACUGACGCUGAGGUGCGAAAGCGUGGGGAGCAAACAGG